rnacentral:rRNA from 1 species
UACGUAGGGGGCAAGCGUUGUCCGGAUUUAUUGGGCGUAAAGAGCGUGUAGGCGGCCAGACAGGUCCGUUGUGAAAACUCGAGGCUCAACCUCGAGACGCCGAUGGAAACCGUCUGGCUAGAGUCCGGAAGAGGAGAGUGGAAUUCCUGGAUGUAGCGGUGAAAUGCGCAGAUAUCAGGAAGAACACCCGUGGCUAAGGCGGCUCUCUAGUACGGUACUGACGCUGAGACGCGAAAGCGUGGGGAGCGAACAGG